GUCAGAGAGUCAGCAGUCCCAUGAUUAUCCCCGUCUGAUUGCAACACCGGCAAAGCGGCAAUCUUUACAGACAAUAGUGGGAUACGUUUGUAAGGCUACGCUAAGAGAAUCUGGUCAGUGAUUCCCGUCACUGCUCGACUUUUAUAUUUACUAUUUUCUGAAGUAGUGGAAACAAUCAUUUUGAAGCUGACCUUCUUUUGGUAAAGACGUGUUUUCCUGUCCUUCCUGAUCUUUCUGAUUCUUCCUGAGUUCCUGUCAGUCCAGCCGCCAAAGUGGAGAGUGUGAUCGCAGAAGGGGGUGCUUCUCGUUUCAGUGCGUCUUCGGGCGGAGGAGGCGGGACCGGAGCCUCUCAGCACUAUCCCAAGACAGGUUCUGGCGGCCAGAAAUGGGUUCCUUCCCGAAGCACUAGACGAGAUGGCAGCUCCAGCAACGAGAAAGAACGCCACGACG